rnacentral:ncRNA from 1 species
AGAAAAGUUAGAAAGAUGAGUAAACCGGGAGGGGUGCCCAGAGAGUCAGCGCUUGGUGAAAGCUGAACUCCCUGAACGGUUGAAGAUGGUCUUUGUGCAAUGCCGGGGUGAGCCAGUGGUGAGCCCCGACCGGGUUAACGCCCGUUAUCACCGUUACGGCUUGUUGGAGCCGGUUGAGGGUCCCCGCGGGGACCGAAAAUGGGUGGUAACACGUUGAUCAACGUCCCAUGA